UACGAAGGGGGCUAGCGUUGCUCGGAAUCACUGGGCGUAAAGGGCGCGUAGGCGGUCUUUUAAGUCGGGGGUGAAAGCCUGUGGCUCAACCACAGAAUUGCCUUCGAUACUGGGAGACUUGAGUUCGGAAGAGGUUGGUGGAACUGCGAGUGUAGAGGUGAAAUUCGUAGAUAUUCGCAAGAACACCGGUGGCGAAGGCGGCCAACUGGUCCGACACUGACGCUGAGGCGCGAAAGCGUGGGGAGCAAACAGG
rnacentral:rRNA from 3 species